rnacentral:rRNA from 1 species
GACGAACGCUGGCGGCGUGCUUAACACAUGCAAGUCGAACGAGGUAGCAAUACCUAGUGGCGGACGGGUGAGUAACACGUAGGUAACCUGCCUUGUAGUGGGGGAUACCCAUCCGAAAGGAUGGCUAAUACCGCAUACCCUUUGUCGUUGUGAUACGGCUCAGGAAAGAUUUAUCGCUAUGAGAGGGGCCUGCGUAUGAUUAGCUAGUUGGUGAGGUAACGGCUCACCAAGGCGACGAUCAUUAGCUGGUCUGAGAGGACGAUCAGCCACACUGGAACUGAGACACGGUCCAGACUCCUACGGGAGGCUG